GCGAGGCGUCGUCGUCGAUUUCGGUUUAUAACAAUAAUGUUCCUCCGAGUUUAGGUCUUCCGAAUGGGCAACAUCUGAACCAUGAAGCUUAUUCUUCUCCUUGGGGUCAUUCUCCUCAUGCCAGACCUCCUUUCUAAUUAUUGAACGUGCUACAUGGCAACAAUUAAUAUAUUAUUAUAGAAGGAUCAUAUCAUAAUAUUAUGAUAUGAGUAAGUUAAUUAAUUAGCUCGAGACUUGAUUUAUAUAAUAAUAAUAAUAAUGAUAUGAUAUGCUAUUAAUCAUAGUGUAUUUGUAUAUUUAAUUUACUGCAACCGCUUCCGAUCUGGUCUCACCUUAAUAAGCAACCUGCACAGUGGCCAUGGGCGUUGCUUCUUUCUGUAAUUUCUUGAGUGACUUUUUAGUUUUCUAUCACUCUAGCCAUGUCUGCUUCUUUCUUUUUUUAUUUGGCUCAAGUAUGUCUGCUUCUAUUUCCU
rnacentral:lncRNA from 1 species